rnacentral:ncRNA from 1 species
GCACCCCAACGGCUUCCUGACGGGGUGUUAAUUACAAAUCGGAGCG